GUCUCCUCUUCACCAUGCCAUUUCUUGAAAAAGAGGAAAACAGUGAACCUGUGCUGAUGAAAAAUGAAACACGCCUGCAAAUCUUAAAGAACAAGGAGCAGAGAAAGAGACUUGUUCAUGAAAUUUGUACUUUUUUAGAUAGCAGCCAGUCUGUCCAGGAAAUUGAUGCUUUAAGGACAGAAAACAGGAAAUUAAAAAAUGCGAACUCGAGACUUCGAUAUAAGACAAAGGAUUGGGCAUUAAAGAAAGAAGAAUAUGAAAAUGAGAUUGAGAGGCUGUCUAGUGAGAUAUCAAAUUACUUAAAUGUCACCAAUUUUUGGUAUCAAGACACAGAGCUUCUUAAUGAUGAGCGAAUGUUACAACACAGACUGGAGAAGAUGACACAAGUUUCUUUUCUUUUUUCAUCUAAUCCAGACACACAAGUGAAGAACCCUUAUCAAAGGAUGAAUAUGAACAAUAGAAGAGCAGCUAACUACUAUUUUUAA
rnacentral:lncRNA from 1 species